UACGUAGGUGGCAAGCGUUGUCCGGAUUUAUUGGGUUUAAAGGGUGCGUAGGUGGUCUAUUAAGUCAGUGCUGAAAUAUCCCGGCUUAACCGGGAGGGUGGCAUUGAUACUGAUGGACUUGAGUAAAGUUGAGGUGGGCGGAAUUGACGGUGUAGCGGUGAAAUGCUUAGAUAUCGUCAAGAACACCUAUUGCGAAGGCAGCUCACUAAGCUUUAACUGACACUGAGGCACGAAAGUGUAGGGAUCAAACAGG
rnacentral:rRNA from 1 species